GACGAACGCUGGCGGCACGCUUAACACAUGCAAGUCGAACGAAGAAGUGUCACCGUAGCUUGCUACACCGAUACUUUUUAGUGGCGGACGGGUGAGUAACACGUGAGCAAUCUGCCUUUCAGAGGGGGAUACCAGUUGGAAACGACUGUUAAUACCGCAUAACAUAAAGGGAUCGCAUGAUUUUUUAUCAAAGAUUUAUCGCUGAAAGAUGAGCUCGCGUCUGAUUAGCUAGAUGGCGGGGUAACGGCCCACCAUGGCGACGAUCAGUAGCCGGUCUGAGAGGAUGAACGGCCACAUUGGGACUGAGAUACGGCCCAGACUCCUACGGGAGGCAGCAGUGGGGAAAUAUUGGGCGAAUGGGGAACCCGUAGACCAGCAACGCCGCGUGAAGGAAGAAGGCCUCGG
rnacentral:rRNA from 1 species